AGAAGAACGAACGAAGGAAAAAGGUGUUAGGUGGUGUUUUUUUUCACCUGUCAAAUUUUCUGCAGGAGGCAGUGUGGUGAAAAGCAAAAAGCCGCUGGAGUUCAGGGAGACUUGGAUUCUAGUCGCAGGGCUGCGACUAACUCACUGGAUGACCUUAGGCAACCCCUGCCUCUUCUUGGACCUCGAUUUCCUCAACAGCUCUAGAAAGUGAUUGCAAAAAAAUAAUUUCCCAGAGUCCUGGUAGUUCCGGCAUUCUAUGACCCAAAGACCGGCUAUCAGCAAUCUCCCAGCAGGGCUCCCGCAACUGCCGGGUCACCUCCCCGCGAUGUCUGGACCACUGUAGAGAGCGCAGCAGAAGCCCUAGGUGAUCCUUCCCAUCUCGGGACCUGUUCCCACACCUGUCAAACAGGAUGGGGAGGUCAAAGGAGACAGCACGAAGAACACCCCUCAUCCGGGAGGGGUGCCCACAACGCACCGCAGCUGCCACCGGGGAGUCGAGGAGACUAGGACUCGCAGCCCAGGCCGGUCGGUGCCAGACCCGGAGCAUCUGCUAAACCCAGAGGAAGGCGACUUGGGUCCAGCAGAAGGCGACCACCCGCCGCCAGCCCCAGCCCAUCAGCGCGCGGACUUACCGCUUGAGUUCCGACUCCAGCUCUGGCUCCCACGUCGGUGCAGCAGCCCACCAGUCCACCAGUUUCUGCCUCAGCUCGAAGCCCUAGCCAUCCCCACCCUCCACUGCCCAAGCAGCCGCUUCCGGGCCCGUCACGUGACCCAGGCGCUCAAACCCUAGGCCCGGGUCACGUGCUCCCGCGGGCGGCUACGCCUCCCCUCUCGUGGGCUCGGCUUCGCAGCACCACCUGGCGACUGGGAACUGAAACUGCGGGAACGACGGUACUCUGGGAGUUGGGACUCAGCCGGGCGUCGAACAUCUGAGCACCAGGCGCGAGCCCGCCGUCGCAGAGCACAGUCACCUGAGCUGUGGGUUUGUGGGAAGGUGGCUCCGUUUUCCGCCGGACUUUCUUUAAGACGUUUCAAUGAGCAUAUGUUGCUUUUAUGAAUGAGAAAUAAUACAUCUUUUCAAAACUUUAGUCAUAUUUUUAAACUUCUACCAAACAUGUGGUGGCGACCGGAAGUGGGACUCUUGAGGAGGGAAGCAGGAAGGUCAGAGAAGAGAGAAGAUGCUACUCUACUGGCUUUGAAGAUGGAGGAAGGGGUCACAGGCCAAGGGAGUACAGGUAGCCUUUAGAAACUGGAAAAGCAAGGAAGCAGAUUCUUCCUAGAGUCUCCAGAAAGAACACAGCCCUGCCAGCAUCUUGAUUUUAAGACUUCUGACCUCCAACACCACCAGGUGACUGAAACAGCCAAUGGGACUGCCAGGACAGAUGGAUCAAGACACCUCUGGAUGUGAGUCCUCAGCAUCUACGCAGUGUGGGCACUUCCCUUCCUGGUGCUGCUGUAUUCAUCUUGUACUUCUGAGCCGUGUUGACAAUGCUCAGUGCUAGCCAAGGUCCUCCUCAUCUUCCAGCAGGCAAGCUCCUCACCCCAGGCCAUCACCUGACAUGACUGAGCAACUAACACUCUCAUAUGUUUUUUAUAUAUAUCUGUAUUGACAUAUGUACAGGAUUGCCAUACAGAAAAUUUCUUCCACUGUGUUCCUAAUAGAACAGUUCUCUAUUUUUUAAUGCCCAAACUUCAUAGAAUAAAUGUAUCUAUCCCACUAUAAUUUUUCUGUACAGUGUUUGUUUAGGAAGCUUUUAUAGUUAUAUCCCCAGAACACUACAGCAGGUUUAACAAAACAAUCUGCAAGAAACAUCUUGAGGUUUUUCUUACAUUGUCUUACAUUCCAGACACAGCCAAAUGUUAGAAUCCCACACAGACAACUUAGAACUCAGAACAAAUGUCAGCAAAGAGGAUAUGGAAGAUGUUAUGGUAGACAAGCAACUUUUUGUAACAAGCAGGUUAAUUUGUGUUCAGUAUCACAUUGCAAGCAUUUAUAACCUAACAUCAGUUAAUUACUUACAUAUAGACAUGCUAUGGGGUCGCACCGAGUUGAACAGGACUGAAGCAACUUAGCAGCAGCAGCAGCAAUGUUAUUAUCUUAGGUAUGUUUCAAAAUUUGCAACUAACACCUGGCUAAUUAAAAAAAAAUAUUUUCUAAAAAACAUUUUCAAAGUAAAUUUAAAAAGGCAAUUCAAGUGUUAAACAGGGUAAUGAUAUGUUUAAAUGAGAUCUGCAAAUUUCUUUAAAAAUUAGGUGACAAGGGCAUUAAAGUUAUAUUUUAUUUUCCUGAGAUACAGGUCUGGGAUGUUUUUCAGUUGAUAAUAAAGUUUUCACUCCUGCAAUGAGAUUUAUUCUGAAAUCAUAUCUAACCAUCUUUGCAUAGGAAACAAAUUUGCAUGGUACUCAUCAGCAAAGGUCAUUCUCUGUACAAUAUGGGGACUGGGCCCAUAGUUAUCACCCUUCCAUCUACUGUGUUGAUUCAAAUUCCCCAGAAUUAUUUUACUUAUUCAAAAUACAACUUCAAUAAAUAAAUAAAAUAC